rnacentral:rRNA from 1 species
UGGGGGAUAUUGCACAAUGGGGGGAACCCUGAUGCAGCGACGCCGCGUGGAGGAAGAAGUAUCUCGGUAUGUAAACUCCUAUCAGCAGGGAAGAAGACAGACGGUACCUGACUAAGAAGCCCCGGCUAACUACGUGCCAGCAGCCGCGGUAAUACGUAGGGGGCGAGCGUUAUCCGGAUUUACUGGGUGUAAAGGGAGCGUAGACGGCCAUGCGAGCCUGAUGUGAAAGGCGUGGGCACAACCCGCGGACUGCAUCGGGGACUGUGUGGCUGGAGUGUUGGAGGGGCAGGCGGAAUUCCUGGUGUAGCGGUGAAAUGCGUAGAUAUCAGGAGGAACACCGGUGGCGAAGGCGGCCUGCUGGACAACGACUGACGUUGAGGCUCGAGAGCGUGGGGAGCGAACAGG